ACGUUAGUCAAAAAAAAGUUGAAAACAACUGAAGUACCCAAUAGUAGGGGACUGGGCUUUUUUUUUUUUAAUGAUUGAUUUGUCCCAAAACUUACAUGUUGAAUGUAUACUGUGUGCACUUUCAGAUUCCUAGGAAACAGCGAACAAGCUAGAACCCCGUUUCUUGCAGAGUGUACAUUCUGUUGUGGUGGGGGAGGGAAGUACAAAUAGAGAAUAAAUGAAUUACGUAGUUGUGUUAGAAGGUGGUAAGUGCUAUGGGGAAAAACUAGAACAGGGGCAUGGAGGGGCUGCCGUAUUAGAUAGAACAGCCACCGGACCAAAUCGAGGGGUGAGAGUUGAUCAAAGCCAUGAAGCUACCUGGAGGAAGAAUAUUCCCAACAUGCGGAAAAGCUAGGAGCGAGGCGCAGAGACGGGAGGGAAACGGUGUGGGAGGAAGAGCUAGGAGGAGUCUGGUGGAGGGAGUUGAGCAAGGGAGCAUGGUCAGAGCUGUUGGAGGCAGCGGUACAAUUCAGAUGUGGUCAGCUUUGGAAAAGAUGCCAGCUCCAGCCACCACAUAUGAAAGAAUAGUUUACAAAAAUCCCUCUGAGCACCAUUAUAUGAAAGUCUGCCUAGAAUUUCAAGAUCGUGGGGUUGGACUGAAUGCUGCACAGUUCAAACAGCUGCUUAUUUCAGCCUUGAAGGAGCUCUUUGGGGAGGUAUGAAUCACUUGGUAGAUUGAAC